rnacentral:misc_RNA from 1 species
CAAGACAAAAAGCCUGUGGCACCAAACUCACUGCAACUCAACACCAAACAGAGUCUUAGACGAGGCCCUGAAAAUCGUCUUCCUCUAUUUGCUUUCAAAUGGGCAGAUCGCUAGUAUUUUCAACAAACAUCCCUCUUAGAUUUUCUCACUUACCCAGAUCAGUUUCAUCUUUUCAUCACCUAAAAAAGUGUGUUUCACAGAGAUUCAGUGAAAAUUGCCAAUGUGCCAUGGUGAAUGGCGGAAUUCGCUUCAAGGCGGCACCAACAAGAAGGAAUUUAUCUGCAAAGAAUUUACCUACAAAGGCAGUGUUAUCUGAGCUUCCUAAUCAAAGGCAGUAUCCCAAAGUGGCUGCCAAUUCAGCUGGACCCAUACCACCUAGCCAGCUCAUUCAAGUGGUUGAGACUGCUGCUAAGACCGGUGCUGAGGUGGUGAUGGAAGCAGUCAAUAAGCCUCGAAAUAUCUCAUAUAAAGGACUUACUGACUUGGUGACUGACACAGACAAAAUGAGUGAGGCUGCAAUAUUGGAAGUCGUUAGAAAGAAUUUUGCAGAUCACCUUAUUCUUGGUGAGGAGGGAGGUGUCAUAGGAGAUACAUUAUCUGAUUAUCUCUGGUGCAUUGAUCCUCUAGAUGGAACAACAAAUUUUGCACAUGGUUAUCCUAGCUUUGCUGUUUCUGUGGGAGUUCUGUUUCGAGGAAAUCCUGCUGCUGCUGCCGUGGUAGAGUUUGUUGGGGGCUCUAUGGCAUGGAAUACACGUAUAUUUUCUGCAACUGCUGGUGGGGGAGCAUUUUGUAAUGGCCACAAAAUUCAUGUGAGUCAAACUGAUAAGGUGGAGCAAUCUCUUCUUGUGACUGGCUUCGGUUAUGAUCAUGAUGACGCAUGGACUACUAAUAUUGAAUUAUUCAAGGAAUAUACUGAUGUUAGCAGGGGUGUGAGAAGGCUUGGUGCUGCUGCAGUUGACAUGUGCCAUGUAGCAUUAGGGAUUGUAGAAGCAUAUUGGGAAUACCGUCUAAAACCAUGGGAUAUGGCUGCUGGUGUUUUGAUGGUUGAAGAAGCUGGUGGGACAGUUACUCGAAUGGAUGGUGGAAAAUUCUGUGCAUUCGAUAGAUCUCUCUUGGUAUCUAAUGGUGUGAUGCAUAUGAAGCUGUUGGAGAGGAUUGCACCUGCAACUGAGAAACUGAAAGCCAAGGGAAUUGAUUUCUCACUGUGGUAUAAGCCAGAAAAUUAUCGCACAGAUUUUUGAAAUGCUCUUAGUUCAAGCUUUCUGUGGCAGCUAGCAGUAGCAGGUGCCUUAGAUAUUACCCUCAGUUGUUACUAUUUUCUAUAGUGUUCUCAUGGUAUGUGCUCUUAAUUUGUUAUCACUUGAUAUCCGCUAUUAGACAUAUCACAAUGCAACAUCUUUCUGGGUUUCAUUCAUGUAUCUUCAUUAAGUACUGCUACUAGUUACUUCUCUAGUAUUCGAUAUUGUAAACAAAGCUGUUCACAAACUUUGUUGACUAGUUUGAUUGAAACGAACUUUAAAUGGUUAAUAACAAAUUCUUAUGGAA